UUAUAAUCGUGCCGCUGGAAACCUUUGCAACCGUAAGGUUCCACACUGUAGACUGGGCUGUAAACUUCAAAUUAUGAUUUUUAUCCAGGAAACUGAGGAUUAAAAAAUUUAAACUUAUUUAAAUUAAAUAAGUUCUUCUGGCCGAGCCCCAGAGAUGAUAUUAACUGGCAUCAUGAUGACCAGAUCAUGUGCCUGAUUCCAGAGCCCUAGCACUGAAUAGGCAUUCAGCUGAAAUUGAUCAGAGGUUCUGGGAGAUCAUUCUGAGACAGCUAGACAAGUGAAAUAAGGUAACAUAAAUUGUAAAAUGGGUUUUUUCAGCUUUUCUGGACAACAGUGGCCUCACUACUGACUGGUAGGAAUCAUCAAGGAAUUAGAAUUAGAAUUUUAUGACGUCAUAGUGUUUUGCUGUCUGUAUGGAAGGGAGUCAAUGAUAUAAGAAAUGCGCAUAUUACAUUGAGAGAAGUAUUACAUGGAGCGAUUUCUUAUAAGAAGUUCCAGGAACUUCGCCUCUGCAACGGCAGAGAUAUUGGUGUUUCUUAGUUCACAGCUUCAAAACUAAGAUAUAUACCGACGGCUAUAUAUAUAGAGAGAGAGAUAAUAGCGGUGAAAAUAUUUGCUAACGGAAAGAGUCCGGUUCGAGCAAUAAAUAAGUAAAGAGAGUACUUAUUAAGAAGCGCAAGAGGCGCAGUAUUUUUGCGGUGGGUUAUUAUCAAGUGGCAUGCCCCAUUGACUCAUUCCAUCAUCUCAGCGGUACAUGAUAUAUUUGGCAAAUUUAACGCACAAGUAAAUUUUACUGAGAUUAAAAAAUAUAUAUAAUAAUAAAAAGAAAUUUAAAAAAAAGAAGAAGAAGGGAAGAGAAAACUGUAAGUGCUACCAAACUGCUGUAUGUGGACUUUCCCUCACAGGUAAACUCUUACAUUCUUAAGGUUUGCUCUAUGGAACCUAUAGGUUAUACGAUUAAUUGAAUGUCUAGAGAUUUGGCACAUACUAGAACCUUUUCUGUCUGUGCACAGGAAUGCAUAUUUACUUGAUUUUCAUAGCAUGUUAAAUUGAUGAAAACUUUGAAAGUUACAGAAGCUGUAAAAAAAUUUUUUUUUUAAAAGAAGGGAAAAACAUGUAGCAAAGCACAUCCUGUGACACAUGCUAUGGUUUGUACAGGGUGUUCAUAUGUUGGUCCUAAUAUCACAUUUAUGCGACUUAACUAAGGAGAAGGAUGUUCGAACCAAUAUGAUGUAUGGGUUAAAGAAUGUGCUUUCCCAGAAAAAGGUAGUUUUAGUCUCAGACAUUUAGAACAACAGAAAUUUAAUUUGGAGAUAAAGGAGGGAGAGAGAGACCCCUAAAACAAAGAGCGAAGUGCAGUUUUUAGCAGACUGGAAGGCAUUUGUUGAAUGGCAGAGCGAGGCGCAUAAAAGAGAGAAAAAAAUUCAGGCAGGGCCCUGAUCUGUUUCUCAGUGUGCUAAAUUGCAGAAAAACGAUCCCAACCUGGACUCCGCCCCACCGCGACACCCACAGCCAGGAAGGUGGAAGGAACCUGCAGUUUCAGAGGCACCUCCUCAAGAUGAAGCGGCCCAGCCUACGCCACUCCAUCCGAACCUGUCAGAACUGAGAACCAACCCCCACUGAACUAUGCUCCAGCCGUCCUAACUUCACCGGUGGCGUUACACACGAGAUCCCAAGUGAAGGGACCAACAACAUUGCUGCCUGAGGGCUUCAGACCAACAAAAUUGGACAGAGAAGGGACAGUGCACGCCGUGGUAAAUGCCCCAAUGCUAGAAGUGGCCAGAGAAGGAGGCCAUAUGCUAGUUCACAGACCUGGACAUUGGAAGACAUCAGGAGCAGUGUGACGCAUCUGCUGGCGCAAAGUAGGAGGGCGAAAGUUUGGGGAUGAACUUCAGAUAUUCUGCAGAGAAUUCAGACCCACCACUCAUGAACUACAACGACUGCUCAUGGCGAAACUUGGCACGGAUUGGGCCAAGGUUUCACGUGAAUUCCCUGAGAACGAUGUCCGUCUGAUCAACCCACAGUGGGAUGAUGGAGUCAACGCAAGGUACAGAGCACAAAUCAUGGUGCUCCAGCAGAGGCUGACGAACACCUUUCCUGUGCGACUGGACAUGACAAAAAUAGCAAAGUGCAAACAACAAGACUCAGAGACUGUAUAACAGUACCUGUCCAGGCUCACUGAGAUCCAUGACGCAAACUCAGGCUUGGAGAAACCCGACGCUCUGGCAGAUGGGCAGGUGGCCGUCACAGCAUGGGAGGCACAUUUCAGAAACAGCUUUAUGAACGGCAUGAAACCAGAAAUUGCCGCUAUAGUCAAACAACAAUGUAUCGCCUAGGACACCGGAAACCUCACACAAGUGGAGAGGUAUUCAAUCCAUGUGGAGAAGCUCUUACGAGACGCAUAGGACAGAAAGACACAGAAGAGGGGAAAAGACCUCCACACAACCACACUAACCAUGUUACAAGCUGGUAGCGUACAGCCCCAGCGAAUACAACUGGGGGGCAGAGGAAGAGGAGUGGCAUGGAGAGGAAAACCAAAAGGAAACGGACGAGGAAGGCCAGGUGGCAAGCCCCAUAGAUACAACUUCACAUGUUUUAUCUGCGGAGAAGUUGGACAUUUUGCAAGAGACUGUCCAGAGCAGAAGCCGACUGACAGGCAGAGGAAGGGAAAGGGUCGCAGGGGAGCCUGGAGACUAUCUCAGGGAACUCGGGGCACAUGGGGUGCCAACCUAUCAGAGGGCACAAUCACACACUAUGGAUAAUUUAGAGAUGCCAGUCAGCCUACGGUGCAUGUCUCUGGACUGGGGGAGGAAACCGGAGUACCCCGAACAUGCAUGCUCCACACACACAGGGUGGAGCCAGGAUUCGAACCCCCAACUCGUCUCAGAAAACUUCACCAUAUCAAUAAUUGCACAUACGUUUGAUAUGUUUAGGUGGAGCGUUCAUGACAUAAGUCCCGGUACGAGCUGUCUUACUAUAGAAACGAUAGAAGGACAUUAAUAUAAACAGUAACUGGAACUACCAUCAGAGCUGCUAUUACAGAAAAUGAAGCCACACCUUCUGACCAAUCAGAAUCGAGCAUUCAACAGG